rnacentral:rRNA from 1 species
UACAGAGGCCCCAAGCGUUACUGAGAAUCACUGGGUUUAAAGGGUGCGUAGGUGGCGCGUUAAGUUCGUUGUGAAAUCCCUGGGCUCAACCCAGGAAUUGCUUCGAAUACUGGCGUGCUUGAGGCUAGUAGGGGUCACUGGAACUGACGGUGGAGCGGUGAAAUGCGUAGAUAUCGUCAGGAACGCCGAUGGUGAAGACAGGUGACUGGGCUAGUUCUGACACUGAGGCACGAAAGCG